rnacentral:tRNA from 1 species
GUUGAGAUAGUUUAAGAAAAAUAUUAAUUUGUGGAAUUAGAGAUUAAGUAUAAUUAUUUCAAUU